rfam:Candidatus Buchananbacteria bacterium RIFCSPHIGHO2_02_FTLL_38_8 rifcsphigho2_02_scaffold_16433, whole genome shotgun sequence.
GGGUUUGUAGCUCAGUUGGUUAGAGCGCUUCGUUUACACCGAAGAGGUCAGAGGUUCGACUCCUCUCAAACCCA